AGUGAACGCUGGCGGCAGGCCUAACACAUGCAAGUCGAACGGCAGCACAGUAAGAGCUUGCUCUUAUGGGUGGCGAGUGGCGGACGGGUGAGGAAUACAUCGGAAUCUACUCUUUCGUGGGGGAUAACGUAGGGAGACUUACGCUAAUACCGCAUACGACCUACGGGUGAAAGCGGAGGACCUUCGGGCUUCGCGCGAUUGAAUGAGCCGAUGUCGGAUUAGCUAGUUGGCGGGGUAAAGGCCCACCAAGGCGACGAUCCGUAGCUGGUCUGAGAGGAUGAUCAGCCACACUGGAACUGAGACACGGUCCAGACUCCUACGGGAGGCAGCAGUGGGGAAUAUUGGACAAUGGGCGCAAGCCUGAUCCAGCCAUGCCGCGUGGGUGAAGAAGGCCUUCGGGUUGUAAAGCCCUUUUGUUGGGAAAGAAAAGCAGUCGGUUAAUACCCGAUUGUUCUGACGGUACCCAAAGAAUAAGCACCGGCUAACUUCGUGCCAGCAGCCGCGGUAACAC
rnacentral:rRNA from 1 species